AGUUACCCCUUUCAGAGUCUAAUGUCAAUAUGGGACAUUCCGGAACAGGAAGGUUUUCUACUAAAAGGGCUUUUGUGCAUUUUAAGGGUACCAGGACUACUGAUACUUGAUAUCUGUUGGACUGAACGAGCCUCAAGUUUGAUCCCUGAAUCAUUUGAACCUGAGAACUUGGGAGAAACUGCAAUCAGUUUUUCUCUUCUCCUCCUGGGAUUAUGUGGAUUAUUACUGUCCCUGCGUGACCUGGUUGAUAUUUAUCUUCAUAUUAUUAGUGUUGGACUUGUAUACCUAGCUCACACCAUCACUAGUAUGCUUCUACCAGAUAUAUCAACUAAACUAUCCGUCCAGGCUUGUGUUCAAAGUAUCCUCUAUAUCCUUCUUCUAACUUUUAUAUUAAACUGGAGUUUAAGAAAAAAGGGAUUGUUUCCUUUGCUCUUCCCAUCUCUCUACACCCUACCCAUUUUUAUGGCAUUAGCGGGGUUCUCUACUGUGAACUAUCAGAGUAUUCUGUUAGUGAUUGAUAAAUUCAUGACCGGGGUUAUUCUUCUCUACACAUUGAAAACUGUUCCUACUGUCCUCAGAUAUAUGUCAGCGGUGAAGGAUAUCUACUCUGUAGUGUGGGAGGAGCUAGGAAACAUACAGUUCGUCCUUCUCAUUGCUCUCAGAGGGUUUCAACCUCCAGUUCUAGUUCUAUAUUGGAUAUUUUCAUUCUCCUCUCAGGCCUGGUUUUACUACAUGGACCUGGACACUGACAAGACUUACAUCAUUGAAGACAGGGAUUGGUUGGUUGAUUUGACAGUUAUAAUAUCGGAAACUUGUUAUACUCCGCUUAUCCUGAUCGGAUUGUGUACAACUAUCAUGGGACUUUCUAAAGCAGUAAUGGACACUUUGCUCUGGAUCUUCCGUAAGUGUGCUGGGGGUGAGGUUGGGGUGGAGAACCCUCUCGCACAAACUGGUUUUACGGAGGGGAUGGUGGCCUUCGUCCUAGCACUUCAGACUGGAUUGAUUGAUAUGGAAAUGCCAGUGCGAAUUGCCGCAACUUAUGCGAUCAUCUUCAACGUUACCAGCACUCUCAUACAGUCUGCCUUCGAGGUGUCCUGUCCUGUUUUGCUAGCUCUGCCUGCCAUUAAUAGAAGAUUAAUAUCCCAUAUACCCGUCCUACUAGUUGUUCUCAGUAUCCUUGUUAUACCCAUUCUCAUCCUCUUCUCAGUGUUUGACAAGGUCUCCAAUGAUUUAUGGCUGAUAAUUGUCAUUUCCAGCUACUUCGUUACAGUUAUCCAGGUGGUAGGAGCUCUAGUAACCUACUCCCUGUUUAUGUGGGAUUCGUUCCAACCUGAAGCAUCAGAGCAUAUGGACGACUAUGUUUUCUAUAUUAAGGCUGGAACAAAAGGAUUUGAACUCUUGGUUGCUAUUUCAAUUGUGACCGGUGGUAUGUAUGAGUACAUGAUGGAGGACACAGAGGCUUCGUUAUUGAAUCCCUUCAUCCUCUUGAUACACUGCUACUUCAACAUCUACCAGAGGAUCGCCUCGGGUUGGGCGACCUACAUGUCCCGAAGAGAAACUAAAAAACGUUUAUCUGAACUGCUGGAUGCAACUAAUGAUGAGCUUGAAGCGCAUGCAGAUGUUUGCAUUAUCUGCUAUAUGCAAAUGCAAUCUGCUAAGAAAACAGAGUGCGGCCAUUUCUUCCAUUCAAACUGCUUAAAGAGAUGGUUGUAUGUACAGGAUAACUGUCCCAUGUGCAGAGCUCCUAUAAUUCAUUUAAUCAAUGAUGAACAUAAUGAGAAUUCUGCACAAGAUGGACAUCAUGCUGCACAAGAACAGGCGCAUACUGCACAAGAUGGACAUCAUGCAGCACAAGAUCAGGCGCAUACUUCACAAGAUGGACAUCAUGCUGCACAAGAUCAGGCGCAUACUGCACAAGAUGGACAUCAUGCUGCACAAGAUCAGGCGCGUACUGCACAAGGUCAGGAGUAUGCUGUACAAUAUCAGCAUCUUGCUGCACAUGAUCAGGAGCAUGCUGCACAAUAUCAAGAGCAUACUGCACAAGAUCAACGCCGAGCUUUUCAUAGUCUCCAACCUGAGGAUAACGAUGAAGAAUGUCGUCCUUCACCCUUACCUGAAAACGAAACCUCCCCUAGUGAUAUAUCGGAACAUGUCGCCGAAGAAACCCGGGAGAACCUUGUCCUAGAAGAUAAUCAAAAUAACAACGAUGUUUUCCAAGAUAGCGCAACCUUGCGCCGUCGAAUAUUUGGUAAUGUUGCACCUUCAAACUGACAUUUUUAUUUUAAAUUAUUAAACAUCAAGAAUCCAAUCUAUAGGGAUAUAUAUUUUCCUCCUUUAUACAUAAAAAGCUUUUUGAAAAUUUUUCAAAACCCCUAAAUACGUGUGUCGUUUGAUAUCUGUUCUGCGUACUUCAGGGCUGUUCAUUAAUCUUGACAAAAAUUUAUAUAAUUAUACAAAUUCUUCCGUUGUCUCCUUUAAUAUUGGAUAUACUGAAGAAAAGCUUGUAUUUAAAAUGUAUAUCCUUAAAGUCUAAACACGUUAUCUCACCAGGAAUACCCCUUGUAAAUCUGUGAUAUUAUUAUACUUCUGUGUUCACUAACAUUCUCUAUGAUAAUUUUUAAGAAAAAUUACUUUUUGACUUCAUACAUAACUUCAGCUCUCUCUCUCUCUGGCUUAGCAAAAAGAAAGCUAUUAAAAACGAUUUAUGCUUUCUCUCUCUGGCUCAGCAAAAAGAAAGCUCUUAAAAACGAUUUAUGCUUUCUCUCUCUCUGGCUCAGCAAAAAGAAAGCUCUUAAAAACGAUUUAUGCUUUCUCUCUCUCUGGUUCAGCAAAAAGAAAGCUCUUAAAAACGAUUUAUGCUUUCUCUCUCUCUGGCUCAGCGAACAGAAGUUUCUAUAGAAACUAGGAUAUACGAUUAUCUAAAAUAUUAUAUUUUUCCAACACUUUAUCGUAUUUUGCAUUACAUUUUUUAUUAAGUUUUAAGGUAAAUAUAUCUUGAUUGUUAUGUUGUGCAUUAUACAUGUACAAUGUACAUGUUAUGUGUUUACACUGUACACUAAAAGGAUCAAUAAAAUGUCUUUUUAAUUG
rnacentral:misc_RNA from 1 species